rnacentral:rRNA from 1 species
CCAAUAGCGUAUGUUAAUGUUGUUGCAGUUAAAAAGCUCGUAGUUGAAUUUCCGGCAAAUAUUGCCUGUCUGUGAGAGGAUUGGAUACUCUACGUUUUUAAUCUUUUAGCAGACUUUUACUGUGACUAAAAUAGAGUGCUCAAAGCAGGCUUUUGCUUGAAUAUUACAGCAUGGAAUAAUAAAAGAAGACUUCAGUCAUUUUAUUGGUUAUUGGCAGAAGUAAUGAUUAACAGAAACAGGUGGGGGCAUCCGUAUUUGAUAGUUAGAGGUAAAAUUCUUAGAUUUAUCAAAGACGAACUAAUGCGAAAGCAUUUGCCAAGAAUGUUUUCAUUAA